GCAGUCGAGCGAUGGAUUGAGAGCUUGCUCUCAAGAAGUUAGCGGCGGACGGGUGAGUAACACGUGGGUAACCUGCCCAUAAGACUGGGAUAACUCCGGGAAACCGGGGCUAAUACCGGAUAACAUUUUGAACUGCAUGGUUCGAAAUUGAAAGGCGGCUUCGGCUGUCACUUAUGGAUGGACCCGCGUCGCAUUAGCUAGUUGGUGAGGUAACGGCUCACCAAGGCAACGAUGCGUAGCCGACCUGAGAGGGUGAUCGGCCACACUGGGACUGAGACACGGCCCAGACUCCUACGGGAGGCAGCAGUAGGGAAUCUUCCGCAAUGGACGAAAGUCUGACGGAGCAACGCCGCGUGAGUGAUGAAGGCUUUCGGGUCGUAAAACUCUGUUGUUAGGGAAGAACAAGUGCUAGUUGAAUAAGCUGGCACCUUGACGGUACCUAACCAGAAAGCCACGGCUAACUACGUGCCAGCAGCCGCGGUAAUACGUAGGUGGCAAGCGUUAUCCGGAAUUAUUGGGCGUAAAGCGCGCGCAGGUGGUUUCUUAAGUCUGAUGUGAAAGCCCACGGCUCAACCGUGGAGGGUCAUUGGAAACUGGGAGACUUGAGUGCAGAAGAGGAAAGUGGAAUUCCAUGUGUAGCGGUGAAAUGCGUAGAGAUAUGGAGGAACACCAGUGGCGAAGGCGACUUUCUGGUCUGUAACUGACACUGAGGCGCGAAAGCGUGGGGA
rnacentral:rRNA from 1 species